rnacentral:lncRNA from 1 species
AUGAAAAAGACGCAGCAGGGGCUGAGGCAGGGCCCUGCUGAUGAGAGCCUCUUAGUGUGGGCAAGGCUCAUGCAACCACAGCAAGCCCACAGGAAAGGUCCCAGCUGCACUGCAAGCCUUUGCCCCACCGUCCCCAGCUUACAGCAAAGCAGACACCUGAAGCAGACGCUGCUCCCCAAAAGCAGCACCCCAAAAGAUGCUGGGGCAGCCACCAUGGGCAAGGCUGUCUCCUUCUGGCCUUGCCAUCCUGCUGCUGGUGAUCUGUGCUGGAGUGACCACCCAGGACAUCUGCAGCUCUCCAGGAUUGCAGGAAAAUGGAGGUGUGUCCCGAAAAUGAACGUGUCCUGGGGAAGGAGAUGGAAAGAGCAAAGUGAAUUAUUCACACACAGUUUCCCCUGGAAACCCCAGGAGAGUAGACUUCUCUCAGCCUUGGCAUGCAGUUGGUUUUGCCACCCGGCAGUCACUAACGCUUGCCUGGGGAAUCCCUGUGCCUUCUCUCCAGGUAACGACCAGACGCCAGUCCUGUACCUCAACGCUUCCAGUGCCCAGGAGGGGGAAAAAGUGCUGCUUCAAUGUACCAUUGAUGAGCAGUUUCCUGCUAAGCGAAUUGUCUUCUGCAAGAAUGGGCAGGAGGAGUUCAGCCUGAAAGCCCAGAAUGGCAGGCUCAUCUAUGCUCUGGUCCUGAACAUCACCUCAAGAAGUGCUGGCACGUACACAUGUGGGUACCAGCAGAGGAAUGACAGCAACUGGGUGAGGAGCUCUGCUCUCAGUGCUCCCCAGACCCUGUCCAUGGCAGGUGAGACACAGCCCUGGAGUGUUGAAGGCAGAAGGGACAAGGACACCAUUGAGGCUGGAGCUGUGUGCUGCAGCAGGCAGGGCAUGUCUCCGGGGUGGUUCCCUGAUGGGAAUGUUCCCUCUCCUCCAAGGGAGCCCCUAGAGAGAGAGCUGCUCUCAAGGGUCCCCUGGUUACUGCAGCAGUACCUCUGCAGCAGACAUGGGUUUCUACAUGGCAGUGGAACAGAGAGUAAGGGCUGGCAUUGUGAAUGGACUCUGGUCUGA